UACGGAGGGUGCAAGCAUUAAUCGGAAUUAUUGGGCGUAAAGGGCGCGUAGGCGGUGAGGUUAGUCAGGUGUGAAAUCCCGGAGCUUAACUCCGGAACAGCACUUGAAACUGCCUCACUAGAGGAUAGGCGGAGAAAACGGAAUUCCACAAGUAGCGGUGAAAUGCGUAGAUAUGUGGAAGAACACCUGUGGCGAAAGCGGUUUACUAGCUUAAACCUGACGCUGAGGCGCGAAAGCAAGGGGAGCAAACAGG
rnacentral:rRNA from 1 species